UACGGGGGGGGCAAGCGUUGUUCGGAAUACUGGGCGUAAAGGGCGCGUAGGCGGCCACCGCAAGUCGACUGUGAAAUCUCCGGGCUUAACCCGGAAAGGUCAGCCGAUACUGCGGGGCUAGAGUGCAGAAGGGGCAACUGGAAUUCCUGGUGUAGCGGUGAAAUGCGCAGAUAUCAGGAGGAACACCGGUGGCGAAGGCGGGUCUCUGGGCCGAUACUGACGCUGAGGAGCGAAAGCAUGGGUAGCGAACAGG
rnacentral:rRNA from 1 species